GUCGGUGGACAGGUGUGCAUGGUUGUCGUCAGCUCGUGUCGUGAGAUGUUGGGUUAAGUCCCGCAACGAGCGCAACCCUCGUCCUAUGUUGCCAGCGGGUCAUGCCGGGGACUCAUGGGAGACUGCCGGGGUCAACUCGGAGGAAGGUGGGGAUGACGUCAAAUCAUCAUGCCCCUUAUGUCUUGGGCUUCACGCAUGCUACAAUGGCCGGUACAAAGGGCUGCGAUACCGCGAGGUGGAGCGAAAUCCCAGAAAGCCGGUCUCAGUUCGGAUUGGGUCUGCAACUCGACCCCAUGAAGUCGGAGUCGCUAGUAAUCGCAGAUCAGCAACGCUGCGGUGAAUACGUUCCCGGGCCUU
rnacentral:rRNA from 1 species